UAUAGAAAAAGCCUAAGCCAUCGCGAGGUGGGGACGGAAAGCCUAGGGUCUCUCCGAGACAGCCGGGUUGCCUUU
rnacentral:ncRNA from 1 species